rnacentral:rRNA from 1 species
UCCCUGCGCCUCAAGUGGUAGCCGCGUUUAUUGGGCCUAAAGCAUUCGUAGCCGGAUUAACAAGUCUUCUGUGAAAUCGUUCGGCUUAACUGAACGGCGUGCAGAGGAUACUAUUAAUCUUGAGACUGGGAGGGGGUAGAGGUAUUCCUGGAGUAACGGCUAAAUGUUAUAAUCCUAGGAGGACCAACAGUGGCGAAGGCGUCUACCUAUAACAGGUCUGACGGUGAAGAAUGAAAGCUGGGGGAGCAAAACGG